UACGUAGGUGGCAAGCGUUAUCCGGAUUUACUGGGUGUAAAGGGCGUGUAGGCGGGGACGCAAGUCAGAUGUGAAAACCACGGGCUCAACCUGUGGCCUGCAUUUGAAACUGUGUUUCUUGAGUACUGGAGAGGCAGACGGAAUUCCUAGUGUAGCGGUGAAAUGCGUAGAUAUUAGGAGGAACACCAGUGGCGAAGGCGGUCUGCUGGACAGCAACUGACGCUGAGGCGCGAAAGCGUGAGGAGCAAACAGG
rnacentral:rRNA from 1 species